AAGUAUAUACAUAGAAAUAUAUAUGUAUAUAUAUUUCUAUGUAUAUACAUGUUUGUGAUUGUUUAUAUGUAUGUUUAUAAUUGUUUAUAUGCAUAUAUAUACCAAUUGCAAUAAAAAUAACCUUAAAUGUUUUUUUUUAGCUUAACAACAUUGCCAACAAUAUUACCUUAUAAAAAAAAAAUAAUAAAUAUUAUUAAAAAGGGGUAUUGUAAUAAAUCUAAAAAUAUAUUUUUUCCUGUUGUUCAUUACUUAAAUUACCCUAAAUACAAUAGUAAUUGUAUCAGUGGUAAAAGUAGUAAUUACAUAAAUAGUACCUACCGAAACAGUAAAAAUUUAUUAAUAGAAAGCAGAUUUUCUUCUUUCAAUAGCUGCAAAUCCGAAAAAAAAGCGAGUACUAGUAUAAUGACGUCCACCGUGCCACAAGUAAUAUCCCUGGAUCCGGUUACUUUACCCAUAAUCUACCAAACACCAAUUGAUAACAUGAAAAUCGAAAUCCAUGAGUUGAAUAAUCAACCUAUUAAUGCUGAUGAGGGUUUACUAGUGUUUUUAGUAAAACCUGGUGAUAAUAAUAGUAGUAGUAAUAAUAGUGGGUCUAAUGGUUUAAUCAAAAUAAAAACAAAAGUAAAUGAUCCAUGUGUGAAUGAAUUUUUAAAAGCUGACAAUAUUGAUAAUUUUAAUGGGAAAUUAGGAAAUUCCAAAUUGUUUUGCAUUCCUAAUUCGCAAAAGAAAUAUAUCAGUAUAGCUUAUAUAGGUUGUGUUGGCUCAAAUGAAUUAAGUGAAUUUGAAAUAAGGACGAUGGUUAAUUCUUUAAUUAAUUUGGUACAUGAAAAUAAAUUUUAUAAAAUGUCGAUUAUUUUUGAGAUAGAUUUAUCAGCUAACUUAUUUCGCUUUUUUUUAGAAACUUUUUUUUAUGAAUAUAUGAUUGAUGAAAGAUUUAAAUCGAUGGAUAAGGUUAUGAAUUUGCAUAAUUUAAAAGAAUUGUUUAUUCACAUUUCUAAUGGUAAUGAAUUAGUUAAAGAAUUAGAAAAGGCACGUACGUAUUUUUUUGGUACAUAUUAUGCUUCUCAGUUAAUAGCUGCACCAUCUAAUUAUUGUAAUCCCAUUUCUUUGUCUAAUGUUGCUGUUGAA
rnacentral:lncRNA from 1 species